UACGGAGGAUCCGAGCGUUAUCCGGAUUUAUUGGGUUUAAAGGGUGCGUAGGCGGUUUGAUAAGUCAGCGGUGAAAUAUUUCAGCUUAACUGGAAGGGUGCCGUUGAUACUGUCGAGCUUGAAUUUAGUUGCUGUGGGUGGAAUGUGUGGUGUAGCGGUGAAAUGCAUAGAUAUCACACAGAAUAUCGAUUGCGAAGGCAGCUCACAAAGCUAAUAUUGACGCUGAUGCACGAAAGUGUGGGGAUCAAACAGG
rnacentral:rRNA from 1 species